GAGGGAAUCUUCCGCAAUGGACGCAAGUCUGACGGAGCAACGCCGCGUGAGUGAAGAAGGAUUUCGGUUCGUAAAACUCUGUUGUUAGAGAAGAACAGCGCAUAGAGUAACUGUUAUGCGUGUGACGGUAUCUAACCAGAAAGCCACGGCUAACUACGUGCCAGCAGCCGCGGUAAUACGUAGGUCCCGAGCGUUGUCCGGAUUUAUUGGGCGUAAAGCGAGCGCAGGCGGUUAGAUAAGUCUGAAGUUAAAGGCAGUGGCUCAACCAUUGUAGGCUUUGGAAACUGUUUAACUUGAGUGCAGAAGGGGAGAGUGGAAUUCCAUGUGUAGCGGUGAAAUGCGUAGAUAUAUGGAGGAACACCGGUGGCGAAAGCGGCUCUCUGGUCUGUAACUGACGCUGAGGCUCGAAAGCGUGGGGAGCGAACAGG
rnacentral:rRNA from 1 species